AACGAACGCUGGCGGCAUGCCUAACACAUGCAAGUCGAACGAGACCUUCGGGUCUAGUGGCGCACGGGUGCGUAACGCGUGGGAACCUGCCCUUAGGUUCGGAAUAACUCCCCGAAAGGGGUGCUAAUACCGGAUAAUGUCUUCGGUCCAAAGAUUUAUCGCCUUUGGAUGGGCCCGCGUUGGAUUAGCUAGUUGGUAGGGUAAAAGCCUACCAAGGCGACGAUCCAUAGCUGGUCUGAGAGGAUGAUCAGCCACACUGGGACUGAGACACGGCCCAGACUCCUACGGGAGGCAGCAGUGGGGAAUAUUGGACAAUGGGCGAAAGCCUGAUCCAGCAAUGCCGCGUGAGUGAUGAAGGCCUUAGGGUUGUAAAGCUCUUUUACCCGGGAUGAUAAUGACAGUACCGGGAGAAUAAGCUCCGGCGAACUCCGU
rnacentral:rRNA from 1 species